GUGUUCUGUCUGAUCUGCUCUAAGAAAAAUAUCCUGCUGGGAGGAGUGGUCAUGACCCUUCCCUGGCAGUGGUAUUGAUGAUUCAAGGGUGAGCUGGUUCACGGUGCUACACUGUUAAAAACCAAACUUCUUUUAAAAGAAGAUACAUAGCUCAUCUGCAGAAGUUAACCAGUAAGGACAGCGGUGAAGAAAAGAGUGGAAGACAGGAAUAUUAAGACUGUGCUUUUGCAGUCCCAUUACUUAUUUCACAGUUUAUGAAGUUUUCAGAGAUGCGAGGUGCCACACUUGGUUUAGUUCCAUUUAACUGAAGUCUACUGCAUCCAAAACUUAGCUGAACUGUUUUACUGAUCAGUUUGGAGGUAACAUCCCCCCACCAAGUCACACUUUUUGUGGAUGUCUUGACUUUAAAUAACUACUCAGAGUUUUUUUACAGAAUCAAAGCUGAUACACAAUGCCUCAGCCCUGAUGUUCAAACAAUAAACUGGACUGGUAAUGCUGUAGUAGCACUAAGGCCCACUUUUUGAGGACCCGAGUUAGAGUUGCUGGGUCUUAAAAGCACAAAGCAACUGUCCAAUAUUUUGUCAGGUGCUUGCUGACAAGCAGAGCAGUCAUGUAAUAAAUCGAUACAAAGUACUUGAGAAUGUAAAUGUAUAAAGUAGGAAGUGUACAGGAUUCCUCCAUAGUUGAGUGUCCUGACUGUGUUUCAGGAAAAACUUUCUAACUGCCAUUCAGUGAACAUGUAAAAAGCACUUUCCACAGGGAAGGAAUGAUGUACCAUAAGGACCUGAACAUCUGGGAUUAUGGUUACUGGGAGUUCAGGUAACAGGAAGGUGGUCUUGCUUUAUUUCUCCUAGGGGGUUACCUUGUACUAGGCCACCUGCAGUCUGUGACACAGAGAUGCUAUUUUCAACUAAUCCCUUGAAAAGACUGAUUCUUAGUUAAGUCAGCUAUCAAAAGACUUGAUACUUAGCAGAAACAAUCAAUCCAUAUUCAACAGAUAGAUUGUCACAAGAUGGCAGUGCAUUAAUGAUGUUAGAUAAAAUAUGCAGUAUGUUACUGUGUAUUGUAAUAGCUGUAUAAAAGCUACAGCCACAUUCCUUUCAAAUUUUGAGAACAGAGAAAACUAAACUGAUGAACUCCUGCAUGUCAUUAGUAUGCAAUCCAUUUCCAGAGCUGAACAGAAGAGGAGGCUAAUUUAUGGGCUACUAUCCAAGCUAGAGAUUCCCAAAACCAGAUAAGCUUGGAGUUAAAUGGAGAACACUAAUGACCCCAGAAGAGGAUCCUAUGAUGGGAAGUGUAUGUAAGAUGCCCUUGAAGUAUGGCAAAAAAGGAAUGUAGGGAGUAGCUUCAUGGUCAAUAAUUGCAGCUAUGAGCUGUGGGAGGAGGAGGAGACUUCAAUUAUGGUAACAACUGGUUUUUGUGAAGGUGGGCACACAGAAAGUAAAAUAUAGUAUCAGAGGGCCACAAGAUUAAAAAAUACAAAAAAACCCAAAACACUAAAUGUGUUUACUGCUAAUGCUGACUGACCUGAUUUGCAGCAAAGAUGAUCUGUUCGUGAGAGCAGCAACCCUGUAAGCACUUGACCCAAUAUUUAUGACAAAUGUAAUCUUUCACCACAAAUACCCAAUAAAUAAAUGUGUAAUAAAUCAGUGUUGCUCUAGAGAAACACACCAAGAGUGACUGCAUAAAUACAAACUGGUAUUACGUUUCAGAAAGGCAACUCUUAGUUGAACUAAUUGAGUUGUCCAGUGGCUCCAUCCAACUUUGAACACCAGAUCACAGUAAAGACACAGCUCUUACACCAAACAAGUUGCUGGGGAAAAUUUUUCAAGUAAAGCCAAUGAGAGCUGCUGUAAAAAGUGGACAGUAGCAUCUUUAGCAGUUUCAGCAUGUUUUCCACCUGCGAUGACAGAAGCUGAAAAUAGCCCUCCAAGGAGAGAAGGGAAUCUACAUGGUUGCUGUUGCUCUGUGACAAAAAGAGAAACGCGGUGUAAAGCACAGUUAUUUUGCCUAAAAGGAGGUAAAAAUCAAAGUCUGAGAGGAAACAGAGCACAGUGCAAUACUGCUGCUGACCCCACCAUCAAGUCUUCAUCCUGAUGGGAGAUGACAUAUUGCUAGAAGGAGCAGAACAGCUCCAUGGCCUGAGCAUCCCCACUCUGCCCACAACAGCAGACCUGGGCUCUCCUCUGAAGCUGUACCUCCCCACCAGUGUGGAAAAAUCAGUUCCAGCUGAUCUUCUCCUGGAGGUGGACAGCAGUCAUCUAAAGCUCCCCGACAUGCUUUCAAGUCAACAUCCUGAAGACAUAAAUAAAAUGGUUCUAUUACACAGCAUGCUCUCAGAAUUAAUCUUUAAAAGGCACUUUUUUUCCUCCAGUGAUAGCAUUCCAAAUAAAAUGUGAACAGGUCAUGUGGAUGAACUGAGUGUGUGGACUUUGGGGGCAGAAUAAGACCAGUGUCAGUUCAGGGGGGCAGCCACCACCUCUUGUUUUGGUGCCCAGGCACUGAACCCAUCUGCAGUAGAAAUGGACAGUGGAAACAAAUUCUUCUAAACCAGACAAAGAACCCUGAUGUGAUUUCAUGAAAAGUUUGGACUAUCAGGGUCUUCUGGAGGUCAUUUCAUAACACCAUGUCCAAGCCAGAUAGAUACUCAAUGAUGGAAUCAUAAAGCAGGCAAUUACACAUAACCAGUUAGCAAAAUCCCUUGCUUACCUGUAUUGUAAUAGCAAUUCUGUUUCCCAUCACUUCCAUGUAGAAAUUAGCCAUUUUCAUUUAUCCAAAUGAUGGAGUUUUUUAAUCUCCAGUGAUCAGAUUGUUCAAAUUUAGGGGCCUCAGAAGCAAUUUUCCAGUUUUAUUUUUUUAUAUUUGUAUAAUCAGACUUCUUAAUUGUUUAUUAUAAAGGGCUGGAGUACUGCUAGAGUAAGAAGGAAUCAGUGCUAAUUCCUAUUUUUAAGAAGUGUGUAUUUAUAUUUAAAAAUAUUUUCAUAUUUCAGCUUUUGUAGGGCAAGUUUGUUAUUAAAAUGUGAAACUCAGAGGAGUGGCAGCCAGGAAACCAAGUGGCCACACUGCAUUAGUUCCAAGUAUUCCCAGCAAAAUGCUAUGGUAGAAGCAGAAAAUACAAGUUUUCAACGGCAGCAAAGAUAAUGAGAUAGUGUUCAGUUCUAAAAAUCUCAGCAAACAAUUUACUUUACAGGUUUGUUAUGGAAGCAUAAACUACAUAAAACCUGCAGUUGUAAUAGUCAUCAAAACAUAUAAGAGUUUUUAAAUCAUUCCUUCAUACAAAACACAUUAAGAAGUAAAUAUAAAAAGUUCAAAAACAGGAC